rnacentral:rRNA from 1 species
UGGGGAAUUUUGGACAAUGGGCGCAAGCCUGAUCCAGCCAUGCCGCGUGCGGGAAGAAGGCCUUCGGGUUGUAAACCGCUUUUGUCAGGGAAGAAACGCUCUGGGCUAAUACCCUGGGGUAAUGACGGUACCUGAAGAAUAAGCACCGGCUAACUACGUGCCAGCAGCCGCGGUAAUACGUAGGGUGCAAGCGUUAAUCGGAAUUACUGGGCGUAAAGCGUGCGCAGGCGGUUAUGCAAGACAGAUGUGAAAUCCCCGGGCUCAACCUGGGAACUGCAUUUGUGACUGUAUAGCUAGAGUACGGUAGAGGGGGAUGGAAUUCCGCGUGUAGCAGUGAAAUGCGUAGAUAUGCGGAGGAACACCGAUGGCGAAGGCAAUCCCCUGGACCUGUACUGACGCUCAUGCACGAAAGCGUGGGGAGCAAACAGGAUUAGAUACCCAUGUAGUCCCUGAGCGGGCUGGCAAGGCGCAU